UGAGGAAUAUUGGUCAAUGGGCGGAAGCCUGAACCAGCCAUGCCGCGUGCAGGAAGACGGCCCUACGGGUUGUAAACUGCUUUUCCGGGGGAAGAAUAAGGGCGACGUGUCGCCCGAUGCCGGUACCCCGGGAAUAAGGAUCGGCUAACUCCGUGCCAGCAGCCGCGGUAAUACGGAGGAUCCGAGCGUUAUCCGGAUUUACUGGGUUUAAGGGGUGCGUAGGCGGGCCCCUAAGUCAGCGGUGAAAGUCUGCGGCUCAACCGUAGGAUUGCCGUUGAUACUGGGGGUCUUGGAUUCGGUCGAGGCGGGCGGAAUGCGUGGUGUAGCGGUGAAAUGCUUAGAUAUCACGCAGAACGCCGAUUGCGAAGGCAGCUCGCCGGGCCGACAUCGACGCUGAGGCACGAAAGCGUGGGGAUCGAACA
rnacentral:rRNA from 1 species